GUGGGGAAUAUUGGACAAUGGGGGGAACCCUGAUCCAGCCAUGCCGCGUGUGUGAAGAAGGCCUUUUGGUUGUAAAGCACUUUAAGCGAGGAGGAGGCUACCGAGAUUAAUACUCUUGGAUAGUGGACGUUACUCGCAGAAUAAGCACCGGCUAACUCUGUGCCGGCAGCCGCGGUAAUACAGAGGGUGCAAGCGUUAAUCGGAUUGACUGGGCGUAAAGCGCGCGUAGGUGGACUAUUAAGUCAAAGUUGAAAUCCCCGAGCUUAACUUGGGAAUUGCAUUCGAUACUGGUUGGCUAGAGUAUGGGAGAGGAUAGUAGAAUUCCAGGUGUAGCGGUGAAAUGCGUAGAGAUCUGGAGGAAUACCGAUGGCGAAGGCAGCCAUCUGGCCUAAUACUGACACUGAGGUGCGAAAGCAUGGGGAGCAAACAGGAUUAGAAACCCCGGUAGUCC
rnacentral:rRNA from 1 species